rnacentral:rRNA from 1 species
AACGCUAGCUACAGGCUUAACACAUGCAAGUCGAGGGGAAACGACAUCGAAAGCUUGCUUUUGAUGGGUGUCGACCGGCGCACGGGUGAGUAACGCGUAUCCAACCUGCCCAUCACUUGGGAAUAACCUUGCGAAAGUAAGACUAAUGCCCAAUGAUAUCCCACGAAGGCAUCCGAAUGGGAUUAAAGAUUUAUCGGUGAUGGAUGGGGAUGCGUCUGAUUAGCUUGUUGGCGGGGUAACGGCCCACCAAGGCAACGAUCAGUAGGGGUUCUGAGAGGAAGGUCCCCCACAUUGGAACUGAGACACGGUCCAAACUCCUACGGGAGGCAGCAGUGAGGAAUAUUGGUCAAUGGGCGCGAGCCUGAACCAGCCAAGUAGCGUGAGGGAUGACGGCCCUAUGGGUUGUAAACCUCUUUUAUGCGGGAAUAAAAUGUUUGACGUGUCAUUCAUUGUAGGUACCGCAAGAAUAAGGACCGGCUAAUUCCGUGCCAGCAGCCGCGGUAAUACGGAAGGUCCAGGCGUUAUCCGGAUUUAUUGGGUUUAAAGGGAGCGUAGGCCGCAAGUCAAGCGUGUUGUGAAAUGCAGGGGCUCAACCUCUGGAUUGCAGCGCGAACUGGCAUGCUUGAGUACGCACGAGGUAGGCGGAAUUUGUGGUGUAGCGGUGAAAUGCUUAGAUAUCACGAAGAACUCCGAUUG